GAUCAUGGCUCAGAGUGAACGCUGGCGGCAGGCCUAAUACAUGCAAGUCGAACGGCAGCACAGCAGAGCUUGCUCUGUGGGUGGCGAGUGGCGGACGGGUGAGGAAUACAUGGGAAUCUGCCCAGUCGUGGGGGAUAACGUAGGGAAACUUACGCUAAUACCGCAUGCGCCCUUCGGGGAAAGCCGGGGACCUUCGGGCCUGGCGCGAUUGGAUGAGCCCAUGUCGGAUUAGCUAGUUGGCGGGGUAAUGGCCCACCAAGGCGACGAUCCGUAGCUGGUCUGAGAGGAUGAUCAGCCACACUGGAACUGAGACACGGUCCAGACUCCUACGGGAGGCAGCAGUAGGGAAUAUUGGACAAUGGGCGCAAGCCUGAUCCAGCCAUGCCGCGUGAGUGAAGAAGGCCCUCGGGUUGUAAAGCUCUUUUGUCCGGAAAGAAAAGCGCCGGGUUAAUACCCUGGUGUCCUGACGGUACCGGAAGAAUAAGCACCGGCUAGCUUCGUG
rnacentral:rRNA from 1 species